GUGAAUCAUCGAAUUUUUGAACGCAAAUUGCACUUCCUGGCAUUCCGGAGAGUAUGCCUGUUUGAGGGUCAGCUUAUAUAAAAUCCGGUGUGUUUCUUGCUCUUCGUGGUGACGGACCGGAAUUGGGUUAUCUUGCCUUCUGUUAGGUUAACUAGAAUUAAGCUUUUUUUUUUGGUACGUAUUUAAUUGAUUUUAUGUACGUUUUCGAUAUC
rnacentral:misc_RNA from 1 species